rnacentral:rRNA from 1 species
GAAAGGCGCAAAAUGACGUAACAAUCGGCUGAAAUCAUCCCAUUCCGUCGCCUGCCGUUAGGCUACUUUCACCCCCCAAGGCUAAAUACUACUUGGUGACCGAUAGCGUAUAGUACCGUGAGGGAAAGGUGAAAAGAACCCCGGGAGGGGAGUGAAAGAGUACCUGAAACCCUAUGUUUACAAGCAGUGGGAGCGAGAGCGACCAUGUACUUUUUGUAGAACGGGCCGGCGAGUUACUGUGUGCAGCGAGGUUAAGUUGUUAAGCAACGGAGCCGAAGGGAUACCGAGUCUGAAAAGGGCGUAAAGUUGCAUGCAGUACACCCGAAACCGGGUGACCUAUCCAUGGACAGGAUGAAGCGACGGUAAGACGUCGUGGAGGUCCGAACCACACGUACGUGAAAAGUGCGGGGAUGAGCUGUGGAUAGCGGAGAAAUUCCAAUCGAACUCGGAGAUAGCUGGUUCUCCCCGAAAUAGCUUUAGGGCUAGCCUCGAUUUAGAUUACCGGGGGUAGAGCACUGAAUGGGCUAGGGGGCCACAAAGCUUACCGAACCCUAUCAAACUUCGAAUACCGGAUAAUUGAUGAUCGGGAGUCAGACAGUGUGAGAUAAGUUUCAUUGUCGAAAGGGAAACAGCCCAGAUCUACGACUAAGGUCCCAAAGUUCAAGUUAAGUGGAAAAGGAUGUGCAAUUGCGUAGACAACCAGGAUGUUGGCUUAGAAGCAGCCAUUCAUUCAAAGAGUGCGUAAUAGCUCACUGGUCGAGUGAUUGUGCGCCGAAAAUGUAACGGGGCUAAACUUGACACCGAAGUCUAGGCAGAAGGAAACUUCUGGGUAGGGGAGCAACGUGUACGGGCAGAAGCAGAAGCGGAAGCGACUGUGGACUGUACAGGAGAGAGAAUGCCGGCAUGAGUAGCGAGAGCAAAGUGAGAAUCUUUGCCGUCGAAAGCCUAAGGUUUCCUGAGGAAGGCUCGUCCUCUCAGGGUAAGUCGGGACCUAAGCCGAGGACAAUAGUCGUAGGCGAUGGACAAUCGGUUAAUAUUCCGAUACCGCCGAGCAACCGGAUGCAGUGACACAGAAGGAUAGGCAGAGCGUGGCGAUGGUAGACCACGUCCAAGCAGUGAGGCUGUUGUGUAGUGAAGUACGCACAACGGAAGGCUGGGCUGUGAUGGGGAACGAUUACGAUCGGUAAGCUGCUGAAUUCACGCUGGCGAGAAAAGCUGCUACGAAGCGAAGGCGCCCGUACCGCAAACCGACACAGGUAGGCGAGGAGAGAAUCCUAAGACGAGCGGGAGAACCCUUGUUAAGGAACUCGGCAAAAUGACUCCGUAACUUAGGGAGAAGGAGUGCCCAGGAAUGGGCCGCAGAGAAUAGACCCAAGCGACUGUUUACCAAAAACACAGGUCUGUGCGAAGUAGAGAUACGACGUAUACGGGCUGACACCUGCCCAGUGCCGGAAGGUUAAGGGGAAAUGUUAGGGCAACCGAAGCAUGGAACUUAAGCCCCGGUGAACGGCGGCCGUAACUAUAACGGUCCUAAGGUAGCGAAAUUCCUUGUCGGGUAAGUUCCG